AUGGGAGUCUAUCACCUCAGAUGCCUGGGUUCUUCGCAUUGUCAGAGACGGCUAUGCCUUGGAAUUCGAAACUUUGCCACCCACGGGUCACAUCCUCCACACCGACCCUUCACCGGAAAUAUGCGCCGAGGUCGACUCCCUUCUGGUGAAGGGCGCAAUCCAGCCUUCUCCUUCCGAGCAGGACACUCGAGGUUUCUUCUCGAGAUACUUUACGGUUCCCAAGCGGGGCGGAGGUCUUCGGCCUAUCCUCGACCUACGGGCUCUAAACCUCUUCAUUCUGCCUUCAAAAUUUCGAAUGGUUUCAGUGGCCUCCAUUCUCCCGAUGCUCCGACACGGAGACUACUUCGCCUCUAUAGACUUACGCGACACGUAUUUCCACGUCUCGGUGCGUCGAUCCCACAGACGCUUCCUUUCCUUCAAGCUCCUGGGACACUCUUACCAGUUCACAGUUCUCCCUUUCGGCCUCGUCACGGCCCCAAGGGUCUUUACAAAGGUGGUCGCCGUGGUGGCAGCGCACCUCAGGAAAAAGGGCAUUAUGGUCUUUCCUUAUCUGGACGAUUGGAUGAUUGUCGCGUCCGACCCCUCAUCCCUUCGAAACCACGUCUCACAGUCUCUUUCUCUCCUGCAACGACUGGGCCUUCAGUUGAAUGUCUCAAAGUCUCAACUCCUCCCAACCACAGAGAUCCGCUUCAUCGGAGCUCUCUUCAACUCCAUCACGGAAACCGCCUCCCUACCGAAGGACAGGUUCCUAGCCCUUCAACAGCACCUUUCUCUCCUCCUCCGCAACCGCAGGAUCGGAGCCCACGCGGUCCAAGUUCUUCUGGGUCACAUGGCCUCCACGGUCAUGGUUACCCCUUUCGCCAGAUUACGUCUCAGACCUCUCCAAAGAUGGUUUAUAGACUCUUUCAAACCCCAUCGGCAUCCGAGCUCAAUGUUUCUCAUGGUACCGAACCACGUUCGCCUCUCCCUUCGUUGGUGGCAGGACCCAGCGAACGUUUGUGUGGGACUUCCCUUCCAUCCCUCCCUACCGUCAGUCACCAUCACGACCGAUGCCUCCAAUUUUGCAUGGGGAGCCCACAUGUCAAACCUCACCGUCAGGGACCUGUGGUCCACCCAAGAAAGGUCUCACCACAUAAACUUUCUAGAACUGUUAUCAAUCUUCAAAGCCCUCCGGGCGUUUGCUCGCUUUCUUCCCCACAAGUCUGUUCUAAUCCAAACGGACAACGUAGUAGCUAUGUACUACAUCAACAAACAAGGGGGUACGGGCUCGAGAAAACUCAUGGCUCUCUCGAUGGACAUUUGGCUAUGGUGCAUAGCGAGACACAUAACUCUGUCGGCAGUUCACCUUCCGGGGGCUCAAAACACUCUAGCAGACUCUCUAAGCAUAAUAACGACCUCCCCCCACGAGUGGCGUCUCGAUCCCGAGAUCCUGAAAUCCGUCUUCGACGAUUGGGGCUGGCCAGCUCUGGACCUUUUUGCCUCCCCCUUGAACGCUCAACUUCCUCGCUUCGGAGCGAGACUACCUCCAAACUCGACUCCGGGCUGUCUCGGAGACGCGUUUCUCCUCGACUGGACUCUCGAACCCGUCUAUCUUUUUCCUCCCUUCCCUCUCAUCUCGAGAGUAAUAGAGAGACUCUAUCUAACACCGACAUCGGCCAUCCUGAUCGCCCCUGCAUGGCCACGCCAGCCGUGGUAUCCCACGCUACUCCGGAUGUGUGCGGAUCCUCCCCGCACUCUCCCAACUCUCCCUCAUCUACUAUCUUCGCAGAAGGGACAGGUCCUCCACCCCGACAUCCCGUCCCUACACCUGACUGCCUGGAGGAUACUUCCUUAAAUUCUCUCCACCCAGACCUGCAGGCGAUCCUUCGCGCCGCUCACAAACCAGCCACAUCGAAGGCCUAUGCUUACAAGCUGGCAAAAUUCCAAACUUUCCUUCGGGACCGACGCAUCGAUCCCGCCUCUACUUCGAUCCCGCUGGUCAUGGACUUCCUACUUUCCCUUGCGGAUCGUCAACUUUCUCUGGCCUCGAUAAAAUCCUAUCUCGCUGCUCUCUCCUGGCAUUUCCAACGUCAGGGACAACCCUCUCUCUUUUCUAACAACCUCAUUAAGACCUUCCUUCGAGGUUACAACAACUUGCACCCUCCAGUUCAACCUCCGACUCCCGGAUGGAGCCUCGAACUCGUCCUUUCUCAACUAGCUUCAGCUCCCUUUGAACCUAUGGCCUCGGCAGACCUUCACCUUCUCUCUUGGAAGACUGCCUUCCUUAUCGCUAUCACCUCUGCGCGCAGGCCUUCGGAACUGGCUGCUCUCCGGGUGGACGAACCCUAUCUCCGUUUCCACCACGACAGGGCUGUCCUUCGCCCGGACAUCACCUUCCUACCUAAGGUGGUCUCUGCUUUUCACCUGAACCAGGACAUAAUACUUCCUGCUUUCUUCCCUAAUCCUUCUUCUUCUCUGGAACGGAAACUCCAUCUCCUCGAUGUCAGGAGAGCCCUCCUUUUCUACAAGGACAGGACUAAGGACAUACGUAAGUCACCUAGACUGUUUGUGGCUUACGCUACCCAUAAACUGGGCGAACCACUUUCUUCCCAAAGACUCUCACACUGGAUUGCUCAGACCAUCGAGCUCGCUUAUCAGCUGGCCAAACGCCAACCCCCCUCUUCGAUCCGCCCUAGAUCUACGAGGGGCCUUUCCACCUCUACGGCCUUCCUGAAGGGCGUCCCUCUUGACUCCAUCUGUCGAGCGGCUAUCUGGUCCACUCCAUCCACCUUUGUUUCACACUACAGGAUGGACUCAAAGAACCUCAAGGACUCGGCCUUUGCCAGGUCCGUCCUUUCCUCCUGCCUUACCUAA
ensembl:lncRNA